rnacentral:rRNA from 1 species
UACGUAGGGGGCAAGCGUUGUCCGGAAUCAUUGGGCGUAAAGCGCGUGUAGGCGGCCUUGUAAGUCCGUUCUGAAAGCCCGGGGCUCAACCCCGGGAGGCGGAUGGAUACUGCCGGGCUAGAGUCCGGAAGAGGCGAGUGGAAUUCCUGGUGUAGCGGUGGAAUGCGCAGAUAUCAGGAGGAACACCCAUAGCGAAGGCAGCUCGCUGGGACGGUACUGACGCUGAGGCGCGAAAGCGUGGGGAGCGAACAGG